rnacentral:rRNA from 1 species
CAGCCGCCGCGGUAAUACAGAGGGUGCGAGCGUUAAUCGGAUUUACUGGGCGUAAAGCGUGCGUAGGCGGCUUUUUAAGUCGGAUGUGAAAUCCCUGAGCUUAACUUAGGAAUUGCAUUCGAUACUGGGAAGCUAGAGUAUGGGAGAGGAUGGUAGAAUUCCAGGUGUAGCGGUGAAAUGCGUAGAGAUCUGGAGGAAUACCGAUGGCGAAGGCAGCCAUCUGGCCUAAUACUGACGCUGAGGUACGAAAGCAUGGGGAGCAAACAGGAUUAGAUACCCCAGUAGUCCCUGUCUCUUAUAC